rnacentral:rRNA from 1 species
UACGUAGGGGGCAAGCGUUGUCCGGAAUCAUUGGGCGUAAAGAGCGUGUAGGCGGCCAGAAAAGUCCGCUGUGAAAACUCGAGGCUCAACUUCGAGCUUGCAUUCGAUACGGGCAGGCUAGAGUUCGGUAGGGGAGACUGGAAUUCCUGGUGUAGCGGUGAAAUGCGCAGAUAUCAGGAGGAACACCAGCGGCGAAGGCGGCUUUCUGGACCAAUACUGACGCUGAGACGCGAAAGCGUGGGGAGCAAACAGG